CCCGGGCCUUGUACACACCGCCCGUCACACCAUGGGAGUUGGUUUUACCCGAAGACGGUGCGCUAACCGCAAGGAGGCAGCCGGCCACGGUAAGGUCAGCGACUGGGUG
rnacentral:rRNA from 1 species